GCACUGCUGAGGAGUCCCGUAAUAGGAUGAAACGACCGUCCAGUGC
rnacentral:hammerhead_ribozyme from 1 species